ensembl:lncRNA
ACUUGUUGGAGCAGGUCCAGAGAAGGGCCACAACAAUGAGCCAAGGGAUGAAACACCUAUCCUAUAAGGACAGGCUGAGGGAGCUGGGGCUCUUCAGCCUGGAAAAGAGAAGGCUCCGAGUUCACCAGAAGGCAGUGACUAUGCUGAAACCCCACGAACACACAAUACUUAGAGGGAAUUUCUGACCAAACUGCAUGUAUACAACUAUUUUCCUUCUGCUUUGGCCACACCAUCUCAAAUCUGAAAACCAUCUUCCACAUUGUUCCAGAUCGGGCAGCAGAAAACUCCCAGAGUAUGAAGCAAGGAUUUUGGGAAAGAUCCCUAAAGGAAACCAUGGCUCAGGCUUCAGGGGAUGCACAAGGCCCCUUGGCACUGAACAAAGGGACUUGCCUUUGCAACAGAAACAUCUUUGUUCAACAGGAGCCCAGGAGCCCAUGCAGGCAGCCA